CUCCCUGAAGGCAGAAAUGUGAAGCUAUCUUCAUCUCCAUCAGAGAAACUCCGGAGUACUGCUUUUGUGGGGAAAAAACACUCAGUGCUUCAAGCACCCAGGCUUUCCACUGCCUAACUUGGAAACAGGUGCGGGCUGUCUCAUAAAAAAGGAGUGCUCUGAACCUCACUUCCAGCUUUAGAGGGCCUCCAACUGAUGCAGCUGAACACUUCAUGCCUCCCCAGACCCUCCGCUAUACAACGUGAGCUGGUGCUAAAGCUCUGCUGCACUGCAGAUACUUCCUACAAGAGUCCCCAAAUGAGUAAUCAGCACCCAGAAUCACACCAGCUAAUGCAACUUACCUUCAUCAGCAGUUGCAGCUGACGAAAGGUGCCAGCCUAUUUAACAGCUGCCUGGAGAUAAGCACUCCGUGGAUGCAGACAGCAGGUGCGGCAUGGGUGGCAGUGUCGGAUGCCAGCCGAGACAUCACUGCAGGGAGCUCCACAUCUCCUCUGCCUCCACGUUCACUUGCCCCCUUGGUAGGGCUGCCAACAGAAUGUUGCAGAGGAUGCUGAUUUUUUGGAAUGGGGACCGAAUGCUUUGGAGCUGAACACAUUCCAUAUGUUUUCACACCUGAAAGCUUUCAAGAAGAGGUCUGAGAUGUUUCCUUUUAUGCACAUACAUGAAACUUUUUUUGCCUGGCUUUAGAUUUCUUACUUUAAAAAAAAAAUACACAUAUGGUGAUUGCUUCCAAUGUGUGCUUAUAGAAACUGGAGACAUUUACAUUCCUAGUAUAGAAGAAGAUGGAGACUUGACAGAUAUUUGAUUUGAGUUGGCUUGUUAUUUCUGGUUCUGGCUUAUUGCAAACACUAUGCCUACUGCUGUAUCUCUAUUGACUGAAGACAGGCAUCCUGAGGGAUAACUUUGUUUUCCCUCUCAUUUAGAAAGGGAAAAAUGCAUGAGUCCAGCCCUGCUACUUGUGAAGGCAGACACAAAUUUGUAAUGCAGACAGUUGAGUAAGAUUGAAAAUAUCACCAAGCUCUGAAAAGUGGUCAUUUGUUCACCUUGUCUUCUCUGUCCUUCUCUGAGGUGCCUUUGCAACUUAUGGCCCUGGUGUCCAGAGGUGUGUUGGGAAGGCUGGAAAAACAAGUUACUUGGGCUCCUGGAAGUAAAAAUGAGGCUGAGAGAAAUGGCAAACAUCACGCUUCGAGCCUGAAAAAUCUGUGGUUGCCAAGGUACAAAUCUCUUUGAAGUAACAUGCUUACUACGUUUCAUUUAGUGAAUUGAUCUGACGGCUUGCAUUCUGUGAAGCCGCUGCCUCGCUUGCUUAUUUAGUUUCCCUCCUUCUCAGCCCCUGAACAUGGACCUCUCUAGGCAAGUUACCCAUCUGCUGGAAGGAGACCUCUGCUCAUUCUGCCAAAUGAGAGAAAAUCAAAAUCCUUGCUGAGCAGCAGCAAAAGAGCAAUGCUGCUGCCUGGAAUUGCAUCAGGAGUUCUGUGCUUAUUAGGCCAUGUAACUGCUACAGCUGAGAAACAAGUCACUGAGACUGUUCGAAAGCCUACAGAUUCUUUCCUGCAUUAAGUUAAUUAGUGAGAAAUGAAACAAGCAGCAAAUGUGUGAAAGAAAAGGAUUAAGUAUCUCAUAUCUUGGUAGCUCAAUGGAAUUGCAAGGAAAAGAGAUCCUACUUAUUACUGAUAGGAAAUAAGUCUUUUAUUCUGGCUUUGAGCAAAAUUCAUCAUGAUUUUUACCUACUUAUGGACAGAGAACAUUCAACUGCUGAGGCAAAUGUGUAAUAACUAAUCCAGAGAAAUUUUUACGUGACCAGGUAAAACAUAGACUCAUCUGAACCACUGGGGUGUACUUCUGGCUGAGCAGUACCAUCUUCUAAUUCCCUUCUGCACUCGCUCUGAUGUGAAAAUACUGGGAGAAGAAAACUCACAAAUGAACACACUCACUCCUCCCCAGCACUUAGCAGCAUCAGGAAAACAAGGCAAACAGAUGGGAGCCAAUGUAUCAUCACAUGAAAUCCCACCCCUUGUGAAAACAUGCCAGCCGAAGAUGAGACAAGAUUCUUACUGGUGUUCUUUGCUGUAGAUAACAAAUUGGAUAGUUUUGGCUUAAAAGUAGCUAGUGAGUGCUUUGCUUUUUUUUCCCUCCUUUGGAUGCACGUUGUCUUGGCCAGGUGACCUCUGAAGCUUGAGAUGUACAGCAGUAUGAAACAUUCCACAGAAAUAUCCAAAUGACUUUGGCAAACUUUGCAUCCUCUAAAUCUUGCUUUCUUGAUGUGUCCAUCCAUGACUAGAGUUCCAUUUUACCCAGAAAGACCAGCAAUUACUUUCUAGGCUCUUGAGCUGUGUUUCUGUCCAGAGUUGUGGUGGCAGGUUUUCCUUGCCUUGCUGACAGUCUUCCUGUUGUCAUGCACAAAACUUGCUUUUAAUAGGUACUGGGAUCCCUCUCCCCUCCACGCGGUUCAGUGGUGACAUUUGGAAAUAUUACUCAGGAAGUCUCUCACCAUCUGGGCCUCCAGCAGGCUCAGCACCUGCACUGCCGUUGUCCCCAGGCCUCUCCCAGCAGUGAGCCAUCACUCCCCACAGCUGUCCUCUCUGGGCUCUCUUCCUCAGCCUGUCAGCAGCUUCUCUGACAGCAGCCAGGUUAGUGGAUCCUGGCCAGCCCUUUUUCCCAACCUGUAAAUGUGAUGGGAGAUUUUUCUGCUUGCAAUUAAUGUUUGGUUUCCAUCCCUUGCUAUGAAGUGAGGAAUGCUCCUGCAGCAUGUGCAGAAGCACAGAUUUACCAAGGCAUCUCCCUGGCCUGCAACAAAUUGUCACUUCUCUUCUGGAAAUCUUUCAAGCCAAGUGUUCCUUCAGCUGAGCUUUGAGAGGGGCUACUUAUGGGUGCUUCCUCCCUUUCUUAGCCAAAGCGCAGGUUCACUGGGCCUGUGCCAAAGGCUUUUACUUUCAGCUUCAGUAUCACCUUAGCCAUGUGUUUGUCAGCAGUAAGCAACCUGUUGAACAGCCCUCUUCCUCUGUGGGGUCAGGAGCAAGUGAGGUUGAUCAGAAGGAGGUUUGCCUGCCCGAUUCACUCCCAAAAGCAAGGCUUUUGGGUAUAUAAGUAUAUACCAGCAAGAGGCCGGUCUCUCUACACAGCUGGUGAUAGGGCUGGGUCCACCCCACAAUGCACAUCUACACACACAGGCAUGUGUGUGUGGUUAUAUAUCAUACAAGUACGUACAAAGCUUUAAAUAUAUAUGGUUACUGAGGAAAUCUGUGAAUAUAUCACUCAGAAACCACCCAAAUUUUAAUACCGCUCUAGAAAGCUGGAUCAGCUCUACUGAAACCAAUGGGAAAAACAAAUUGGAUUAAUGUCCCAAUUUAAUCAAGUUAAGAAGGAUGUGUAUAUGAAAUACAGCUUUUCAAGUACUCAAUGUUUAAGUCUGUGAAACAUUGCUGUUUAUAUAUGUGAUGCAAAACAUAUUUUCUAGUUGGUAAGAACCACUACUAGAUAGUUUAGUAACAAGAACAGUGUUUUGGAAAAUAAUUUUAUACUAAAGUAUACUAAAGUACUUUAACUAAAGUUAAGUACUGUGCUGCUAGAAGACAGAAUAUAAAGUGACUAUUGAGUUCCUCUCUCUAAAUUUACAGUAUCAUACACUGAAGUGGUGGACAAACUGUGGGAGUCCUAAAUACUGCUAGUGAUUCCAUCUAGCUAGUCAGUUUAUGUAAAAUCAUUGACCUUGAUCUGAGGAUAGACCUCUUUAACACAAUCAAUACAGGUGCAAUCAGAUAAGAACAUUCUACUGUUUUAUUAAAGUGCAUCUAAUUCAAAACUCAAUAACUCUCACAAAUCCUUAAUCAGAGAAGACAUCCUGGGAGGUAUUUAGGUGAGUGAUCUUAUAACUCUUUCUCUCUCCUUGUUACGAUGGCAUUUUACAAAUAGACAUGUCUGUUUCCUCUUUACCCUUUCUGCCAUAAUUCUUUCAGUGUACAGUUGUGUUGAUUAUUGUGCAUUUAUCAAGUCUCUUUUCCCCUUCAUUUAUUUAGAGGGAUUGAGUCAAGUGACAGCUUCUGCUUACCUCAUCCCCCAGGGUCGCUGUGGGCAGGCAUAUAAAUGCAAAUGUGCCUCCCUUACUGGCACACUGAGCUCUAUAUUCUAGUCUGUGACUUAGAUGUGUUACCCUAUAGGAGGUGUAGUAAAAAUGAAUGCUGCCUUCUGAGGGUGGCCUGGGAUAAUGAAAGAAAACAGUCCAUGUGCAGCAUAAUGUGAUAGCUUAAGUAGAAUGAAAGCCAAAGACAAUGACUGAAUUUUUAGAAAUGAUUUUAAAUCAAAAUGAUACAUACUGAGUAAGACAAAAUAAGCACAUGGUAGAGAGCUCUGAGAGCACUGCUUACAGUGAGAUAAUUAUUAUCCUUUUCAGGUGAUCCUCAGCAUGUUCCUUGAUAAUGUGAAAUAAAUUGUAAUUUGGAGCAUUUGAGCUGAGGGCAGACUUUUUUUUUGUCAUUUACAUGCACAUACAACAGACUGAGGGCAUGAGAUCUCUUAGUGUGAGUGCAGACAACUGCAUAUGCUUAUCUAGACCCCAUCUCCUUGCUUUACACAAAACAGCACUUAUUCAAUCUAUGGAAUAAAAUCAGAAAAAAAGUAUCAUAUAUGCUUGUAACUAUACAGUGUGCAGAGAAGCUUGAGGAUUGCAGCAGUCUCUUUAACGUGUCUGGUCACAAAAGAGGUCUGAAUCCUGACACUUCAUAGGCAUGAGUCUUUUACUUGUGAUUCUGUUCUUUUUACUUCUAUACCAAGUGGAUUUACCCACUAGACACAAGAAUAUCUCCACCAGUAGACACUGUGGGCAAGGACUGAGAGGCAGGGAGCCCUCCUGAAGAAGGCUUGGGCUGCUGCUGCAGCUUCUGAAGGAAGCAGAAGAAAAGAAUUGGUUCUUCUUGCCAAUCCAACCCAGUAGUCGUCAUCACACACAUUCUGGCCUUUCUUUCUAUUCACACCAAGAGCCUACAUUUCCAGGGCCUUGGUGCAGGCAAAGCACGACUUUUUCUGGCUGCCUGCUAAUCUAGACAGCUGCUUGCUUGGCUUGUGCUCAUCUAUAACCUCCAUGUCCAGGAGUGUGCUUGCUGCAUGCUGUGAAGAUGAUGCGGUGUUCCCUGAGGUAUGGCCAGGUACUCUUUGACAUAGAAAGGGGCUGUGUUAUUCUAUCUUGGGUCCUGACUUCAGCAAAGUAUCAGCACCACCAUGAUUUGUAAGGCUUUGGCACUAUUAGUAGCACUGUCUUCUCCAGAAAGCCAAGCAAAUAUCAGAUUUC